rnacentral:tRNA from 1 species
GCCUGGAUAGCUCAGCAGUUGAGCGUCUGUCUUUGGCUCAGGGUGUGAUCCUGUGGUCUCAGGAUCAAGUCCUGCAUCAGGCU